CACGUAGGGGGCGAGCGUUUGUCCGGAUUUAUUGGGCGUAAAGAGCUCGUAGGCGGUUUCGUAAGUCGAAUGUGAAAGCCCCCGGCUUAACUGGGGAGGGUCAUUCGAUACUGCUCGACUUGAAGGCAGGAGAGGGUAGUGGAAUUCCCGGUGUAGUGGUGAAAUGCGUAGAUAAUCGGGAGGAACACCAGUGGCGAAGGCGACUACCUGGCCUGUUCUUGACGCUGAGGCGCGAAAGCUGGGGGAGCAAACGGG
rnacentral:rRNA from 1 species